AAUAGAUACCCGGGUAGUCCACGCCGUAAACGUUGGAUACUAGGUGUGGCGGUCUUACCAACGACUGCCGUGCCGAAGCUAACGCAUUAAGUAUCCCGCCUGGGGAGUACGGCCGCAAGGCUAAAACUCAAAGGAAUUGACGGGUCCCCGCACAAGCGGCGGAGCAUGCGGCUUAAUUCGAUGCAACCCGAAGAACCUUACCUGGGUUUGACAUCACGGGAAAGCUGUAGAAAUACAGUGUCCAUUAGGGCCCGUGACAGGUGGUGCAUGGCUGUCGUCAGCUCGUGUCGUGAGAUGUUGGGUUAAGUCCCGCAACGAGCGCAACCCUUGUCCUAUGUUGCCAGCGGUUCGGCCGGGGACUCAUAGGAGACUGCCGGGGAUAACUCGGAGGAAGGUGAGGACGACGUCAAGUCAUCAUGCCCCUUAUAUCCAGGGCUGCACGCAUGCUACAAUGGCCGGUACAACGGGCAGCGAUCCCGCGAGGGUGAGCGAAUCCUAAAAAGCCGGUCCUAGUUCGGAUUGAAGUCUGCAACUCGACUUCAU
rnacentral:rRNA from 1 species